GGUUCGAUUCCGGAGAGGGAGCCUGAGAAACGGCUANNNNNNNNNNNNNNNGCAGCAGGCGCGCAAAUUACCCAAUCCCGACACGGGGAGGUAGUGACAAUAAAUAACAAUACGGGGCUCUUUCGGGUCUCGUAAUUGGAAUGAGUACAAUUUAAAUCCCUUAACGAGGAACAAUUGGAGGGCAAGUCUGGUGCCAGCAGCCGCGGUAAUUCCAGCUCCAAUAGCGUAUAUUAAAGUUGUUGCAGUUAAAAAGCUCGUAGUUGAAUUUCGGGAUUGACACAUCGGUCGUGCCUUAAGGGGUAUGAACUGGUGUAGUCAAUUUCUCACCUUCUGGAGAACCACGAUGCCCUUAAUUGGGUGUCGCGGGGAACCAGGACCUUUACUUUGAAAAAAUUAGAGUGUUUAAAGCAGGCAUUUUGCUUGAAUACAUUAGCAUGGAAUAAUAAAAUAGGACGGCAUGAUUCUAUUUUGUUGGUUUCUAGGAUCACCGUAAUGAUUAAUAGGGAUAGUUGGGGGCAUUAGUAUUCAAUUGUCAGAGGUGAAAUUCUUGGAUUUAUUGAAGACUAACUACUGCGAAAGCAUUUGCCAAGGAUGUUUUCAUUAAUCAAGAACGAAAGUUAGGGGAUCGAAGACGAUCAGAUACCGUCGUAGUCUUAACCAUAAACUAUGCCGACUAGGAAUCAGACGAUGUUAAUUUUUUAAUGACUCGNUUGGCACCUUA
rnacentral:rRNA from 1 species